rnacentral:rRNA from 1 species
GACAGAGGGUGCAAACGUUGUUCGGAAUUACUGGGCAUAAAGCGCGUGUAGGCUGCUUCGCAAGUCGGGUGUGAAAGCCCUGGGCUCAACCAAGGAAGUGCAUCCGAAACUGCCGAGCUUGAGUACUUAAGAGGAUCGCGGAAUUCCCGGUGUAGAGGUGAAAUUCGUAGAUAUCGGGAGGAACACCAGUGGCGAAGGCGGCGAUCUGGGAAGAUACUGACGCUGAGGUGCGAAAGCGUGGGGAGCAAACAGG